AUUGAACGCUGGCGGCAUGCCUUACACAUGCAAGUCGAACGGUAACGGGCCUUCGGGUGCCGACGAGUGGCGAACGGGUGAGUAAUACAUCGGAACGUGCCCGAUCGUGGGGGAUAACGAGGCGAAAGCUUUGCUAAUACCGCAUACGAUCUACGGAUGAAAGCAGGGGACCGCAAGGCCUUGCGCGGACGGAGCGGCCGAUGGCAGAUUAGGUAGUUGGUGGGAUAAAAGCUUACCAAGCCGACGAUCUGUAGCUGGUCUGAGAGGAUGAUCAGCCACACUGGGACUGAGACACGGCCCAGACUCCUACGGGAGGCAGCAGUGGGGAAUUUUGGACAAUGGGCGCAAGCCUGAUCCAGCCAUGCCGCGUGCAGGAUGAAGGCCUUCGGGUUGUAAACUGCUCUUGUACGGAACGAAAAGCCUUCUUUUAAUACAGGAGGGUCAUGACGGUACCGCAAGAAUAAGCACCGGCUAACUACGUG
rnacentral:rRNA from 1 species